GGCCUUUUGGUCUAGUGGUAGGAUACCUGCUUAGGGAUUUCUGUCCUAUAAUGCAGGUGGUCCCGAGUUCGAACCUCGGAAAGGCCC